rnacentral:rRNA from 1 species
GCCUAAUACAUGCAAGUCGAACGGUGCAGCAAUGCAUAGUGGCAGACGGGUGCGUAACGCGUAUGCAACCUACCCCGGAUCGGGGAACAACUUCGCGAAAGUGGAGCUAAUACCGCGUAACAUUGCGAGGAGGCAUCUCUUGGCAAUUAAACUUACGGGGAUCCGGGAUGGGCAUGCGUCUGAUUAGCUAGUUGGUGAGGUAACGGCUCACCAAGGCGACGAUCAGUAGGGGAACUGAGAGGUUGAUCCCCCACACUGGCACUGAGAUACGGGCCAGACUCCUACGGGAGGCAGCAGUAGGGAAUAUUGGGCAAUGGUCGCAAGACUGACCCAGCCACGCCGCGUGCAGGAGGAAGGCCCUCUGGGUUGUAAACUGCUUUAGCAGGGGAAGAAAAGACUCAUGCGUGAGGCAUUGACGGUACCCUGAGAAUAAGCACCGGCUAACUACGUGCCAGCAGCCGCGGUAAUACGUAGGGUGCAAGCGUUGUCCGGAUUUAUUGGGUUUAAAGGGUGCGUAGGCGGCCUAUUAAGUCAGUGUUUAAAUUUUGCAGCUUAACUGUAGGUAUGGCAUUGAUACUGAUGGGCUUGAAUAUUAAGGAGGUAGCUGGAAUUUAUGGUGUAGCGGUGAAAUGCAUAGAUACCAUAAGGAACACCGAUAGCGGAGGCAUGUUACCACUUGAUAAUUGACGCUGAGGCACGAAAGUGUGGGGAUCAAACAGGAUUAGAUACCCUGGUAGUCCACACUGUAAACGAUGAUUACUAGAUGCCGGGCAGUUGUGUUCGGUGUUCAAGCGAAAGCGAUAAGUAAUCCACCUGGGAG